CAACAAUUCCACACCCUUCAUCGAGAAUCUCUUCUUCGAGACACUCUCACUCUCAACUCUUUCGCCGUCAGUCUCAUCGAUCUAUGGCAACCCUGGAUGAGCUCAGAUCCCACCGUCACCAGCACCAUCCUCGCUGCGCCGUUAGCCUCCGCCUCGUCUCCUCCUUGCCUCUUCCCUAGCAUCCAACAGCGUCGUCGUAGUUUCGUGCUCUCCUGCCGUCUUCCUGCUCUGGCCACCGCGAUGCUAACAUCCCGUCCACCACGCCUCCGCCUCGUGUUUGCCUCGCUGUUUCUGCUUUGCUCCUUCGUCCUUGUUGGAUGUUAAGAACGGCAUUUUGGAGAUUUAGUCCUUGCAAUCUAACCACGCUAGAGAGUUGAAGAUGCGUGAAUCACUCGAAGCUACUUGCAUCACUCUCAGAAGAGGUUCUUAAUAAUAAUAAAAAAAUAAUUUUUCAGAAUCGAGAAUUUUGUUCGCCUCUGCAUGUUUCGUAUCGCUAAAAUUGAGUUCGUAAGUUUCGCCUCUGUGUGAAAGUUGGUUUUAAAUUCUGGUACGUAAUUGUAGUGUCAUCAUUGAAGCUACAAUAAAUUCAUCCACAUUGUGACUUUUAUGAUUAUUUACAACCAUUAUCCAAUU